rnacentral:lncRNA from 1 species
AGGCAGACCUUUUUAUGUGAUCCUCUCUCAGGCUGAGUUGUCUGCUUAUCUGCCCUCAAGGUUUCUCUUUUUCUGGCCACUUAUCUUCUGAAUCAAUCAGCUAAGAUCAGUCUCCAGUUUGCAACCUCUGAUCUGGAACAUACAGGAGCCACUCUACUGUCACAAUGAACCAGCUUUGCAUUGGAUCAAUUCAAGGCACAAUCAGGAUAUGGCCUAAAAUAAAAUAGUUGGGACGUUAUCUCUUAUUCUUUCUUUGGAACAGACACUUGGUAUAUGGCAGUUAUUAUUAUUAUGCAGCAUAUUCAUUGCAAACCAUCCCCUGCCAACAUUUAAAAAAAUACAUGGUUAUAUUUAAAUAACUUAAAUAUGUCAUUUAUUUAUGCUAUUAAUUUGCUUAGUUCAUCU